GAACCAAUAAAACGAGACGAAAGGGAUCGUUCGAGAAAACGUAAUUUGAGAUUUGACCAAUUUCUACGUCGGUUAGGGUUUGAAAGUGCCCCUUUGAAAUCCCGGUUAGCUAGAUUUUGAACUCUUUUGCGGAAACAGUUUUGAAGAUUAUUUCGAUCGGCGCGGCAGAUAUACUAUUGACGAUCGGAAAAAUCAUUCGAAGAGAGGUAAGGCUUGUGUACAUCUUGCACAUCUGUUUGGAGGUCAGUUGCAUUCUAUUGAUACUGCAGUCAUAAUGAGAUUAACAAAAGGAACUAGAGUUGAAGUACUGAGCGGAAAGGAGGUUGUAAUGGGUGCUUGGCUCUGUGGUGAGAUAGUAUCUGGGAAUGGGCACAUGUACAGUGUCAAGUGUGGUCGGUCUGCACUAACCAAGGAGGUAGUAGUUGAGAGAGUUCCUAGGAAGGCUAUUAGGCCAUGCCCGCCUCCUGUUGAAGGGGCAGGCAAAUGGGCCCCUGAUGAUCUUGUUGAGGUAUUUCAUAACCUGUCUUGGAAAAUGUCAAGAAUAGUGGAAGAUGUUGGUGGGAAUGUCUUUUCUGUUAGGCUACUUGGGUCUCCCCAGGUGUUCAGAGUUCAUUCCUCUUACUUGAGAGUUCGACAGUCUUGGGAACAUGGCAAGUGGUUCGUGGUCGGAAAGGGCUCAGAAAAUAACACUAUGUCUAUGGGAAAAAGGGUGCCUAUCACAAGGAUUAAGGUACGUAUAGGAGAUGAUCUUUUGUUUGACAAGGAAGACAAAGAAACUCAAAAGCAUCAUGUGGUUUUCUCCAGAAAUCUGAAAAGACGGUCACCUUUUGGCUUCUCUUGUAUUGAAGAAGAGAAAGUGGCUUCUAAAAAGAAUAGAUCGGAUGAAAAAGAUGGUAGCAGUAGACAAAUUUCUCCUCUUCAUCCUUCUCUAACUUCUGAAAAGGUCUCAAAAUGGUGUGACCAAGUUUGUCACCUCAUUCUGUGGAGAUGGGGAUCACAUCUGCACAUGAUGUUCUGCUACUUUCAGUGCCAAACUAUUGAUCAAUUUGGCAUUGUUCUUAACGUUUGGACAAGUCUUUUGGGUGGGCAUCACAGAGCUGGAGGUUCAAGGAUGAAAACAAUUACCUUGUGCAACAAUGCUGGAGGUACAAGAGUAAGACUGUCUCUGAAAAUUUUUUUAUUAGUCUUUUUGGUUGAAUGUGCUUUGGUGCAGUCGUAACAAUUUUUUCAGACAUCACAAUUUCGCACCUGUGGAGCACAUAAGUCUUGUAGAUUGUCCAUUUGUCCUUAGAAGAUCAAAGGUUGAUGGUACUGUGUUUUACCACCUCCCUUGUGAUCACAACCUUUACUCAUGCAUGUUAUGAGAUCUACUGCAGAUUGAUGGCACUUGGUCUUGAAGUGAAAUACCAUAGCCUGAGUCGUUUGGCCAUCAUGGAGCCUUGAUUCUGUUGCAUGCCUUGAUCGGAUUUAUAUAGACCUUAGAUGAGCUUUGCUUCAAAUGAUGAAGAUUAUGAUCAUACGAAUCAUCUAUUCAAUUGUUAGACACUUCAAGUUUUAUCUAAUGAACUUUUGAUGCUGGUUGGUGGAUUGGAUAAGCAUGUCUUAUUUAAUAUGCACUGAGAUGCCAACUUGGGUUGUUAUUUUAGUUGUAAGAAAACAUAUACUGAAUCAUCUAUUGGCAAUGUACAAAAAAUUCUGGCUC